AUGGCAGGGCUUGGUACUGGAGCACCAAUCGUGAAGGUGUAUCAUGAGAAAUCUAUAAUCUUACCAGAUGUGUCAAGGGUGCUUGCAUGCCUGUACGAGAAGGAAAUCGACUUUACGAGAGAGACAUUCUCCUCUUACAAGAGCCUACUCAGACUUCAGGCAUCGGGCCAUGUUCCAGUUCCAUUCUAUGAUGGACCUAAUAAAUUCCUAGAAGAAUCAAGAGAAAUCUGCCGCCAUAUAGCAGAGACUUAUGAAGAUCAUGGAUACCCAUUUCUCCUUGGGAAGGAUUCCCUUGAGAGGGCUUCCAUCGAGGAAUGGCUCCACCAUGAAGAACAUAAUUUCAAUCCUCCGAGCAGAUCCUUGUUCUGCCACUUGGCCUUUCCUGUUGCUGAAGAAGAUGAUGAUAUAGACUUGCAGACGAGAAAGCUAGAAGAUGUCCUGGAAGUUUAUGAGCAAAGGCUUGGUGACAGUGAAUUCCUUGCUGGCAACAAGUUCACUCUUGCUGACCUCGUACACCUGCCAAACUCCUACCACAUCACAAAUUCUGAGAAGUUUCUGUACCUGUAUGAUUCAAGGAAGAAUGUGCAGAGGUGGUGGCAUGAUAUUUCUAGCCGGGGUUCUUGGCAGAAGGUGCUGAAGGUUAUGCAUGAGGUGGAGCGGCAGAACAAACAGGAGGAACUUGACAAGCAGCAGCAGCGCAAACAGGAGGAACUUGAGAAGCAGCAACAGCGUCAGUGGCGGAGACAGCAUCCUCCAACCAGCAGAUCCCCGUUCCGUCUAGACUCCCGGGAGCAACCCAGCACAAAACCUCACACGAUAUUGGUUCGCCCCCCUGCUAGUAUCAUCGCUCCCAAGGCUCCUCAAGCAGAGGAGCCUCAUCCUACUGAAACUUCCCGUGAUGAAACACCAGUCUCCUCAAGCAUAAGUAUUCCUACCACUCAUAAAGCUCCAGAUAUCCGAAGCAAACACACUAUCAUUUCUACUACACAUGAAGAAAGACCACCAGCCUCCCUCCAAAGUACUCCUAGAAUUCCUGAAAAAUCUCCUAUUCCUGUCGAAAGAAGAAUCAAUUUUUUUACCCCAGCUACCUCUCCUAUCACUGAGAAACCCUCAAGAAACGGUGCUGAUAAGUCCAGAAUUAGAGAUGCCCCACUUCCUUCUGAAGCCACUGAAAUAGACCUCCCUACUAAAUCCAAGCCAAGUUCAUCCAAAAAAGCAUCUGAUAACCUUCACGAUUUCUAUGAGGCAAGCAGACAUACAGAUGAAGCAGAACCUUAUACUGGAUCCAUCUCACAAAAACCUUCAGAAAUGCUGGACGAGAUAUCUGAAACUGAUGGGCCCAGCAAUGCCAUUGAUCAUGCCGAAACCAGUCCAAGAUCAGCUAAAGAAGAUUCUGACCGACUCAGGACGUCAGGUUUCUGGACUGAGAACACAGCCCCCACUGCUGAUACUCAGGAUAAGAAAUCAGUUCGAUACACUGAGCGUACUUCACAAAGACCUGUUGGAAAUAUUUCUAGCAGAGCUACUGACCAGAGAGUUACAUAUACUUCUCCUGAGAAGCCCCAUUCAACUGAAGCUCAUCAGAAACUGCAGUCUGAGCAGUGGCAUGCUGCUGUAGCUGGGUUCCCUGCUGACCGCAGAAAAGAUGCUUCUCUUCCUAAGGGUGCACGAGAUGACACUCAAGCUAUUCCAUUACAUGAUGAUGAUACCAACCAGGAAGCCAGAGAAACUGCAUCUGCACCAAGGCAAACAAGAGCUCAAGAUCCAUAUGAUACCUCUGAAGGAACAUCAUCCAGAUCACAACCUAUCAGUGCUCCACAUGAUGCUGUUCCUCCGCCCAAGCAAGCAACAUCUGAAGGCCCUUAUGCACGAAAGGAUGUUGUGGAAGCAAGAAGGUUCCAUGUUGACCGCAGAAAAGAUGCUCCUCUCCCGAAGCGUGUACGAGAUGACACUCAAGCUAAUCCAUUAUAUGAUGAUGAUGAUGAUACCAACCAGGAAGCCAGAGAAACUGCGUCUGCACCAAGGCGAGCAAGGGCUCAAGAUCCAUAUGAUACCUCUGAAGGAAUAGGAACUUACCACUCUUCAUCAUCUAGACCACAUCCUGUCAAUGCUCCACAUGAUGCUGUUCCUCCACCCAAGCAAGCAGCAUCUGAAGGCUCUCGACGUGCAACCACACCAUACCUAGCUGCUCAAGAGGUCUUCCAGCAGGGUAAGAAAAGUCCUGCAUCAAGGCUAAUAGUGCCUCAUGAUGCCCAAGGCAGCACUGAAGAAGAGACUGUGGAAUCAUCAUCCAAAGCACAUCCAUUGGAUUCUCAUCUGGCUGAUGUUCGUCCACCUAACCAAUUUUUGGAUGAAGAUGGUUAUGGUGCAAUUACACCAUUGCAAACAGGAGAUACAGAUGAUCCAUAUAAUGAGAAGCGAGAUAGAGGCGUUGCUGCUCCAAAGCGGAUGAUGUCUCAAGAUGCCUUUGAAGAAACGAAGAUGACUGAUUCUGCAGCAUUUGAAGCACAAACAUCAGAUCAUUGGCAAGCUGAUGCUCCUCCACAAAAGCAACGGCCAACUGAAGAUCCUGAAACUACUGCUUCACCAUCCAAGAAAAGAUAUACUGAUGAUGAAGAUACGGCCAAACAAGCUAAGCAUGCUCAUCAGAAACUGCAGUCUGAGCAGUGGCAUGCUGCUACAACUGGUUUGAGUAAGCUAAAGGGAGAAGCUGAUGAUUUGAUGCCUCCUACUCAACAAGCAAAACCUAGCAAAGAUGUCCAACAUAUCUCACCACAAGAUGCAGAACAAGCAAACACUUGGCCUCUUGCACAAGAACCAGCAGGCAUGGAUGGACAACUGGUGCAAGGACCAGAAAGGACAGCUCGAACACCCCACACUGAUAAGAGAAGAGAUGUUUCUUCUAUGCUUUGGCGACAAGCUGCUGAUGUUCAAGGAAUUGCUGAGGACAGAGCAUCAUCUGAUCAGGGAGGUGCUGUAAGGCCCCCUUAUGCACCCAAGGAUACUGCGGAAGCAAGAAUUGUCCCUGCUGCUCUCAGAAAAGAUGCUUCUUUCCCAAAGCAUGCACAAGAUAAAACUCAAGCUGCCCCAUUAUAUGAUGAUGAUCAUGAUACCAACCAGGAAGCCAGAGAAACUGCAUCUGCACCAAGGCGAACAACCACACCACAGGAUGCUGUUCAUCCGCCCAAACAAGCAGUAUUUGAAGGCCCUCGACGUGCAACCACUCCAUACCCAGCUGCUCAAGAGAUAAUGCAAGCUAGGAGAAGUCCUGCAUCAAGGUCGACAGUGCCUCAUGAUGCCCAAGGCAGCACUGAAGAGGAAACAUUGGAAGAAACAAAGUUCGUGGAAUCUGCAUCAUCCCGAGCUCAACCUGUGGAAGACACCUCUGAAGAAGCAGAGACUCGUAACUCUGCAUUGUUUAGAAGACCAUCUCCAGAUGCCUGGCCGGCUGCAGCUCCUCCAUCAAAGGAAGCAGCAGCUGAAGACGCUCUUAGAGUGAGUCAAUCAUCCCCAGCAAGAUAUCCAAGAGCUGAAGAAACCAGCAAACAACCUAGAGCCCCUGUUUCUAUACCAACACAUAUAGCAGCUCAAGAUGCUAGGGAUGUCUUUAGAGAGCCAAAUGUUGCUGAUUCCACACCAUUGCAAAAGAGAUACCCUGAUGCCAAAGAUGUGGCCAAGAAAUCAAAAAUUUCUGAUUCUGCACCACCACGAGGGCAACCUUUGGAUUCUCAGAGAGCUGAUGCUCCAUCAUGGAAGAAAGAAGCAGCUGAUGCUCCAUCACGAGGGCAACCUUUGUAUUCUCAGAGAGCUGACGCUCCAUCAUGGAAGAAAGAAGCAACUGAAGAUCCUCGUGCAACUUCAGCAUUUGACAAGACUCGUCCUUAUGUUGAAGAUAGCACUAGGCAAGCUGCAGACACUGAUUUUGGGCCAAGGCAGAUUGGAGAUGAACACACUGAAGAAAAAAAGGUUGCUGAUUCUGCACCAUCUGUCAGAGAAAGACAUACUUACACCCCACGAACUGCACGUCCUCUGUCACAGCUAGCAGAAGAGGAAGAAGAUGCCCAGGAUAAAUACAGAGAAGGUAGAGAAACUGCACGUCCUCUGUCACAGCAAGCAGAAGAGGAAGAAGAUGUCCAGGAUAAAGACAGAGAAGGUAUGGAAACUGUUUCUGCACCAAAGAAAAUGGUGUCCAGAGAUGCUCAUGACACAUAUGGAGAAAGAAGGACUCCCCACUCUACAUCCACCUCACCCACACCAUCCAAAGCACAACCUGCAGAUUCUCGGAGCCCUAUCAAGGUGGAGAGACCACGUUCUGUUUAUGAGGAGGACCAUCUCGUUGGCCAAGAUAGCCAUAAGCAACCUCAAACCCUCCCAACUGGUGGGAGAGCAGAUGGCUCUACACUAAAGCAUCAACAAGAUCCCGUGGUUCCAUCUAUUUCUGAAGAGAAAUCAAGUACUCCUCCAGCUCCACCCAGAGCAAGAGUUCGUGACGAUCAUCCUACUGAAGAUCCAUUUAAAGGAGACAUUGUUGGUGACCGAAAAGGAGCACCACCUCAAUUGGGCCAAGAACCAAUUUCCCAAGUCCAACGUGCCACAGAACUGUCACAGGAAGCAGCUCCUGAUGGUGAACUGUCCACCAUUGAUCAAUGGCGGCGCACAUCUGUGCCAUUACAAGGUGAUGAUGUGCUGGGUGGGUCUACCAUUGAUCAAAAGCCAACACCAAUGAGUGAGCAAUCAAUACCCAGUGCUCGGCGUGCCAAUGAGAUGGUCAAAAAAGAGCAAAGAAUGGUACCACCUGCACGAACAGGAGCACAAACGCCCGAUGUUCAGCGUGCUCCAUCAUCAUUCUCAAGAGCUGACACGGCUGAAAGAGAUAGAGAGCCGGUACAAAUGCAAGCACCUACUCAACAUGCUCGGCCUACUUCAGUGCCUACCAGAAGAGCAACUCCUGAUGCUCGUGACACUAGUGAUCAAGAGUUUGCAAACAAAUCUGAUGCCCAAAGAUGGAAUGCCUUGAAAGCUAAGCAUGAUUUAGCCAUGACCAGUGAAGAUGAUCGGAAUGCCAGUCCAUCAACUCAUGAUGCUGCUGUUGACAACAAGACAGCAUUGCCUGCCAGUGAAGCACAAGGUUCAGACACUUGGCCUGGUUCAACAGCAACCCCCGUAAACGCUCAACCUACCAGUGGUGAUGCACGUGUCGGAAGAUUUUCACGUGCUCAAGGGGCACAACCACCUGAAUCAACUCAAGCACAAACCCCUUUUGAUGCUCCACGUGACUCUGUAUCAACCCCAGAUGUACCUCGUGACACCUUGGACAAGACCAAAUCUGCCAAACCAACUUCAACUGAAGGCAUGACACCUACAGCUGCAGCGCCAACUUCGAAGGUCCAACUUGCUGAACAGAAAUUUGCUCCAUCAGAUAAAAAAUUAGCCCCUGCUGCGCCUGAAUCAAGUAAAGAAGAUACUAGUUUUUCUGCUCCUGAGAAACCACAAACAAUUUUUCGUCAAGAAGCGAGACCAUCUGCAGCAAUCACAAAACAAGUUCCAUCCUCAGAUGCCCACCAUGACAGGAAAAUCCAGCAUGUCACCCUUGCUAAAUUUCCCCCUGAUGAUUCACCAAUGCCAGAUCAAGAUUCAAUUCAGUCUGCACAACAAUCUUCCUCAUCUGAGACUAGCAAAGAAGAGACUAUCGUUGCUGCAGCUGGACCGACAUUGCCAACAACCGUCGAUAAAGACACACAAGUUUCUGGACGCCCUAUCAAGGCGGAGAGAACACCUUCUGUUUAUCAGGAGGACCAUCUGGUUGCCCAAGACAGCCAUGAGCAACCGCAAACCCUCCCAACUGUUGGCAAAGCAGAUGGCUCUACACCAAAGCGUCAACAAGAUCCUGAAGAGAAACCAAGUACUACUCCAGCUCCAUCCAGAGUAAGAGUUAGUGACGGUCAUCCUACUGAAGAGCCAUUUAAAGGGGACAUUGUUGAUGACCGAAAAAGAGCACCACCUCUAUUGGGCCAAGAACCAACUUCCCAAGUCCAACGUGCCACUGAACUGUCGCAGGAAGCAGCUCCUGAUGGAGAUAUGUCUAGCAAACCAUCCACCAUUGAUCAAUGGCGGCGCACAUCUGUGCCGAUACAAGGAACUUCCAAUUCUGGUGAUGAUGUGCUGGGUGGGUCUACCAUUGAUCAGAAGCCAACACCAAUGAGUCAACAAUCAAUACCUGGUGCUCGGGGUGCCAGUGAGGUGGUAGAAAAAGAGCAAAAAAUGGCACCAACUGCACGACCAGGAGCACGAACACCUGAUGCUCUCAGCGCUCCGUCAUCAUUCUCAGCAGCUAACACAGCUGAGAGAGAUGCAGAACCAGUACAAAUGCAAGCACCAACUCUGCAUGAUCAAGGGGCACAACCACCUGAAUCAACUCAAGCACAAUCACCUUUUGAUGCUCCACGUGACUCGGUAUCAACCCAAGAUGUACCUAGUGACGCCUUGGACAAAACCAAUGUUGUCAAACCAACUUCAACUGAAGGCAAGGCAGCAGCUCCAACUUUUAAGGCCCAGCUUGCUGAAGAGAAAUUUGCUCCAUCAGAUAAAAAAUUAGGUCGUGCUGCACGACCAACUUCAACUGAAGGCAUGACACCUACAGCUGGACCAGCGCCAACUUCGAAGGCCCAACUUCCUGAGCAGAAAUUUGCUCCAUCAGAUAACAAACCUGAGAAACCACAAACAAUUUUUCGUCAAGAAGCGAGUCCAUCUGCGCCAAUCACAAAACAAGUUCCAUCCUCAGAUGCCCAUCAUGAUACUAGGAAAAUCCAGCAAGCCACCCUUGAUAAUGUUCCCACUGAUGAUUCAUCAAUACCACCUUUUCCAAGUCAUGAACAAGUUUCCCAUGCACCACAAGCAUUCCCUAGUAAAAAAGACAGGGCACCUGCACCAGGCACAAAGGACUCUCCAGCCUCAAAUACCCAAAUUGCUUCAGCAAAAGUCCAGGAAACUAUGCCUGACAAUUAUGGCAUUGAUGAGUUAACAGUGCCAUCUGUCUCAAGUGAAAAGCAAGGUUCCUAUGCUGGAUCUUCUACUGAACCACAUGAAGGAUCAUUUCCUGAUGCUUAUGGUGCCACAGAUGACAAGGACAUAACUAAAUAUCCAUCUAGGCAAGCACCAGUUUUAGAAUAUAGGCCUGAUUCAACACCAGCUGAUAGUUAUGUUCGUCCCAUCAGUGGUAGCGAAGUAUUUCCUGCUGUAAAGAAAUCUGCCCCAUCAGAUAAAGAUUCAAUUCAGUCUGCCCAACAACCUUCUCCAGCUGAGACUAGGAAAGAAGAGACUAUCUUUGCUGCAGCUGAACCGACAUUGCCAACAACCGUCAGUAAAGACACACAAGUUUCUCGGCGCCCUAUCAAGGCGGAGAGAACACCUUCUGCAUAUCAGGAGGACCACCUGGUUGCCCAAGACAGCCAUGAGCAACCUCAAACCCUCCCAACUGGUGGCAGAGCAGAUGAUUCUACACCAAAGCGUCAACAGGAUCCUAAAGAGAAAUCAAGUACUCCUCCAGCUCCACCCAGAGCAAGAGUUCGUGACGAUCAUCCUACUGAAGAGCCUUUUAAUGGAGACACUGUUGAUGAGCAAAAAGUAGCACCACCUCUAUUGGGCCAAGAACCAACUUCCCAAGUCCAACGUGCCACUGAACUUUCACAGGAGGAAGCAGCUCCCGAUGGAGAUAUGUCCAGCAAACCUUCGACCAUUGGUCAAUGGCAGCGCACAUCUGUGCCGUUACAAGCUAUAACUCCCAAUUCUGGUGAUGAUGUGCUGGGUAGGUCUACCAUUGAUCAAAAGCCAACACCAAUGAGUGAACAAUCAAUACCCAGUGCUCGGGGUGCCAGUGAGAUGGUAGAAAAAGAGCAAAGAAUGGCACCACCUGCACGACCAGGAGCACGAACACCCGAUGUUCUGAACGCUCCAUCAUCAUUCUCAGCAGCUGACAGAGCUGAGAGAGAUGGAGAACCAGUACAAAUGCAAGCACCAACUCUGCAUGAUCAAGGGGCACAACCACCUGAAUCAACUCAAGCACAAUCACCUUUUGAUGCUCCACGUGACUCGGUAUCAACCCAAGAUGUACCUAGUGAUGCCUUGGACAAAACCAAUGUUGCAAAACCAACUUCAACUGAAGGCAAGGCACCUACGCCAACUUCGAAGGCCCAGCUUGCUGAAGAGAAAUUUGCUCCAUCAGAUAAAAAAUUAGCUCGUGCCGCACGACCAACUUCAACUGAAAGCAUGCCACAUACAGCUGGACCAGCGCCAAGUUUGAAGGCUCAACUUUCUGAGCAGAAUUUUGCUCCAUCAGAUAAAAAACCUGAGAAACCACAGACAAUUUUUCGUCAAGAAGCGAGACCAUCUGUGCCAAUCACAAAACAAGUUCCAUCCUCAGAUGCCCAUCAUGGUACUAGGAAAAUCCAGCAAGUCACCCUUGAUAAUGUUCCCACUGAUGAUUCAUCAAUACCACCUUUUCCAAGUCAUGAACAAGUUUCCCAUGCACCACAAGCAUUCCCUAGUAAAAAAGACAGGGCACCUGCACCAGGCACAAAGGACUCCCCAGCCUCAAAUACCCAAAUUGCUUCAGCAAAAGUCCAGGAAACUAUGCCUGACAAUUAUCGCACUGAUGAGUUAACAGUGCCAUCUGUCUCAAGUGAAAGACAAGGUUCCUAUGCUGGAUCCUCUACUGAACCACAUGAAGGAUCAUCUCCUGAUGCUUAUGGUGCUGCAGAUGACAAGGACAUAACUAAAUAUCCAUCUAGGCAAGCACCAGUUUUAGAAUAUAGGCCUGAUUCAACACCAGCUGAUAGUUAUGUUCGUCCCAUCAGUGGUAGCGAAGUAUUUCCUGCUGUAAAGAAAUCUGCCCCAUCAGAUCAAGAUUCAAUUCAGUCUGCCCAACAACCUUCUCCAGCUGAGACUAGGAAAGAAGAGACUAUCUUUGCUGCAGCUGGACCGACAUUGCCAACAACCGUCAGUGAAGACACACAAGUUUCUCGGCGCCCUAUCAUGGCGGAGAGAACACCUUUUGCUUAUCAGGAAGACCAUCUGGUUGCCCAAGACAGCCAUGAGCAACCUCAAACCCUCCCAACUGGUGGCAGAGCAGAUGAUUCUAGACCAAAGCGUCAACAGGAUCCUAAAGAGAAAUCAAGUACUCCUCCAGCUCCACCCAGGGACGAUCAUCCUACCGAAGAGCCUUUUAAUCGAGACACUGUUGAUGAGCAAAAAGGAGCACCAACUCUAUUGGGCCAAGAACCAACUUCCCAAGUCCAACGUGCCACUGAACUUUCACAGGAGGAAGCAGCUCCAGAUGGAGAUAUGUCCAGCGAACCUUCCACCAUUGGUCAAUGGCAGCGCACAUCUGUGCCGUUACAAGGUAUAACUCCCAAUUCUGGUGAUGAUGUGCUGGGUGGGUCUACCAUUGAUCAAAAGCCAACACCAAUGAGUGAACAAACAAUACCCAGUGCUCGGGGUGCCAGUGAGAUGGUAGAAAAAGAGCAAAGAAUGGCACCACCUGCACGACCAGGAGCACGAACACCCGAUGUUCUGAGCGCUCCAUCAUCAUUCUCAGCAGCUGACAGAGCUGAGAGAGAUGGAGAACCGGUACAAAUGCAAGCACCAACUCUGCAUGAUCAAGGGGCACAACCACCUGAAUCAACUCAAGCACAAUCACCUUUUGAUGCUCCACGUGACUCGGUAUCAACCCAAGAUGUACCUAGUGACGCCUUGGACAAAACCAAUGUUGCCAAACCAACUUCAACUGAAGGCAAGGCAGCAGCUCCAACUUUUAAGGCCCAGCUUGCUGAAGAGAAAUUUGCUCCAUCAGAUAAAAAAUUAGCUCGUGCCGCACAACCAACUUCAACUGAAAGCAUGACACCUACAGCUGGACCAGCGCCAAGUUCGAAGGCUCAACUUUCUGAACAGAAUUUUGCUCCAUCAGAUAAAAAACCUGAGAAACCACAGACAAUUUUUCGUCAAGAAGCGAGACCAUCUGCGCCAAUCACAAAACAAGUUCCAUCCUCAGAUGCCCAUCAUGAUACUAGGAAAAUCCAGCAAGUCACCCUUGAUAAUGUUCCCACCGAUGAUUCAUCAAUACCACCUUUUCCAAGUCAUGAACAAGUUUCCCAUGCACCACAAGCAUUCCCUAGUAAAAAAGACAGGGCACCUGCACCAGGCACAAAGGACUCCCCAGCCUCAAAUACCCAAAUUGCUUCAGCAAAAGUCCAGGAUACUAUGCCUGACAAUUAUCGCACUGAUGAGUUAACAGUGCCAUCUGUCUCAAGUGAAAGACAAGGUUCCUAUGCUGGAUCCUCUACUGAACCACAUGCAGGAUCAUCUCCUGAUGCUUAUGGUGCUGCAGAUGCCAAGGACAUAACUAAAUAUCCAUCUAGGCAAGCACCAGUUUUAGAAUAUAUGCCUGAUUCAACACCAGUUGAUAGUUAUGUUCGUCCCAUCAGUGGUAGUGAAGUAUUUCCUGCUGUAAAGAAAUCUGCCCCAUCAGAUCAAGAUUCAAUUCAGUCUGCAAAACAACCUUCCCCAGCUGAGACCAAGAAAGAAGAGACUAUCGUUGCUGCAGCUGAACCGACAUUGCCAACAAUUGUCGGUAAAGACACAGAAGGUAUGAGAGGCACUCCAACCUUUGAUUACGAGCCCACGGGAGAUAAACGUGCUGAUAUUCAGAGUGGUAGAUCUGAUGAAGUAGCCCUUCCAGAACAGAAAUCCGGACCCUCAGAUCGGGAUUCAGCUCGUUCUACACAAUCAAGAUCCUCUGCUGAGCCUAUGGAUAAAGAGCUUAAUUAUCCAAGUUCUGCAAAACCACUUUCCUCUGCCACACCUGACCAGACAAAGGACUCACAACCUACUAUUGGUCAACAAGCGCCUGCACCAGGAACAUCAGAAUAUCCAUCCUCAGAACCACUUUCUGUUGUUGAAAGAAAUGAAAAAAUUACUGUUGCUGAAGCUGAAAGCAAAGUGUCUCGACCAGUCAUCGCUCAGCAAGACGUUAAGCAUGUACCAGGCAUUUCAGAACCAGCACUUGAUAAUGUUUCGACGGAAGAAGAAUAUCAACGUGCUUCUGAGCCACGUGAAGGACCACCUCCUGAUGUGCAUGGCACCCUCGUUGACAGAAAGACAGCUCCCUCUUCUAGUCAAGUACAAAGUCCAGAUGCAAAACGUGAUGUGCUACCAUUGAGUGUUGAUGUUGCCAAAAAAACAGUUCCACCUUCUAGUCAAGCACAAAUUCUACCAUCGAGUGUUGAUGUUGGUCCUAGCAGUGAUGAACAGUCAACUACAAGACUUAGACGCGAUCAAGAGGCACAGGCGCAGCUACCUGCAGCAACUAAGAAACCACCACCUUUUGAGACUCCAGUCUACUCUAAAUCUAACCAAGAUGCCCCUAAGUCCUUCAAACUACCCUCUGGUGAUCAAGAUGUCAUGUCACCUAAAGUGGUGCCAGCAUCAGCAUCAGACACUCAAUUUGGUAAAGUAUCUGAUGAAAUAACUGAUGAUGGGCAAAACUCCCCUUUGUCAGCUCAAGAUAUAGCUCGUUCUGCACAAAGGCCUUCCUUUGUUGAGCCAACAGAAGAAGAUGGUAUUGUUGCUGCAUCCGAUCAAACUAACGAGGCACGGCCUAUAAGUGGUCAACGAGGAAUAACUCCUACUCCAGACAAACAAAGAAUUCCUGAUCUGCGUGGUGCUGUUGAUGAAAAGAUGUCACUUCCAUCUAGCCAAGCACAAAAGUCAGACAUUAGGCCUGAUUCAGCACCAAUUGAUGACGAUGUUCAUCGUACUAGUGGCGAUGAACCUGCCACAAGCUCUGUACGUGAUUCACAAGCACGGCCUCCUGCAGGAAUUCAGAAUGUACCUGCUGGUUUCUUGGAAAAGACCAAGUCACCAAGACCACUCUCCACUGAUCAAGAACCUACGGCUAGUCCAGCACCAGCUCCAGAUGCUCCACAAGAUCAAGAUUCGAAUCAUUCUUCACAGUUUUCUCCCUCUGUUGUAUCAAGGAAAGAUGUUGCUAAUGCUGAUCAAACCAAUGUAUCACAAGCAGGCCUGCGAGAGCCCCCGAGUUCAGAUGCUAAACUUCCUUCAGAGGAAAUACAAGAAUCUAGCCCCGAUGCUUAUCUCACCAAGUCAGAGAAACCACUUCCUAUGAAAGAUCCAGUUCGGCCUCCACAUGAUGCUUCCUUUGAUUUAUCGAGCGGUGAGAAGCCCACUAGGAUCAAAGGUGAUCAGGCCAGCACAAUAUCAGAUGGCAGUCCCUCAGCCAGCGAAGAAGUUGGUCAAUCUAAAAAUGGUGCAGUUAAAGGACCACUCGCUGCAGAGUUAGUAUCAUCAUUUCCUCAGAAGAACCUCGAAAAAACAUCACCUGAAGAAAAAUGGAACCACCAGCAGCAAACAGAUCAGUCCACCACUAGAUCAUCUGAAGAUAACAACAUCGAAGCCAGUGGAACUAGAAACCCUAACACCUCAACAACGUCUAGAGAUAUACAACCUUCACCACUCAAGGAAAGAAUGCAGGCAGUUGAAGGAUCCAGAAACCAACAACAGUCUGGCCAAGCUGUCUUUCAAUCAAUACAGGAUAACAGAACACAAAUUCAAGAAACUAAGGCCCGAGACACUGCAUUUGACAAGCCUGAAGUGAUUAGGCCUGAUUCAGCCCCAACCAGUGGUGAUGCUCAUCGUACAAGCGGUGAUGUGCCAACCACAAGUUCUUUACGUGAUUCACAGGCACAGCCUUCUGCAGGAACUGAGAAUGUACCUGCUGCUUACUCGGAAAAGGAGUCACCAAGACCACUCUCCACUGAUCAAGAAGUCAGGACACCUCUGACUAUGACUAACCCAACACCAGCUCCAGAUUCUCCGCAAGAUCAAUAUUCAAAUCAUGCUUCACAGUUUACUCCCUCUGUUGUAUCAAGGAAAAAUGCUGCUAAUGCUGAUAAAACCAAUAUAUCAGAAGCAGGCCUGCGAGGCCCCGCGAGUUCAGAUGCUACACCUUCAGAGCAAAUACAAGAAUCUAGGCCUGAUGAUUAUCUCACCAAGUCAGAAAAAGAACUUCCCAUGAAAGGUACAGACCCAGUUCAGCCUCCAGAAGUAGCUGCCUUUGAUUUGCCGAGCAAUGGGAAACCUACCAUGAUCAAAGGUGACCAGGUGAAUACAAUAUCAAGUGUCAGUCUCUCGGCCAGCAAGCCAGUUGGUCAGUCUGAAAGUUCAGUUGAAAGACCACUCUCAGAUGAGUUAGUAUCACCAUUUCCUGAAAAACACCUUGAAAAAAGAUCACCUGAAGAAAAAUCGAACCAGCAGCAGCAAACUGACCAGUCCAGCACUAGAUUAACUAAAGAUGAUAGCACAGAAUCCAGUGGAAUCGCAAGCCCAAAUAUCUUGACAACAUCCGGAGAUAUACAACCAUCUCCACUCAAGCAAAACAAUCAGGCAGCUGAAAGAUCCAGAAAACAACAACAGGCUGACCCUGUGUUUCAAUCAACACAGGACAACAAAAGGCAAACUGAAGAAACUGAGGCACAAGACACUGGAUCUGACCAGCAUGAAGAAAUCAAUCCUGAUUCAGCACCAACCAGUGGUGAUGCUAAUCGUACAAGUGGUGAUGGGCCAGCCACAAGUUCUUUACGUAAUUCACAGGCACAGCCUCCUGCAGAAACUCAGAACGCACCUGCUGUUUUCUCGGAAAAGAUCAAGUCACCAAGACUACCCUCCACUGAUCAAGAACUUGUGACACCUUUGACUAGCCCAGCACCAACUCCAGAUACUCCGCAAGAUAAAGAUUCAAUUCGGUCUCCUCAGUUGCCUCCUCCUGUUGAAUCAAGGAGAGAUAUUGCUAACACCGAUCAAACUGAUGUAUCACCAGCAGGCUUGAGAGAGACCACAAGUUCAGAUGCUAUGCCUCCUUCAGAGAAAAUACAAGAAUCUAGCCCUGAUGCUUAUCUCUCUAAGUCAGAGAAACCAAUUCUUCCUUUGACAGGUACAGAUACAGUUCAGCCUCCAGUUGAAGGUUCCUUUGAUUUGUCAGGCGAUGGGAAGCCCACUAUGAUCAAAGGUGACCAGGCCAACACAAAAUCAAAUGUUAGUCUGUCACCCAGCCAAGCAGAUAGUCAAUCUGAAAAUAGUGCAGUUAAAGGAGCACCCUCUGAUGAUUCAGUAUCACCAUUUCCUCAAAAGAACCUCGAAAGGACAUCACCUGAAGAAAAACCGAAGCAGCAGCAGCAAUCCAGCACUAGAUCACCUAGAGAUGACAGCAUAGAAGCCAGUGAAACCGCAAGCCCAAACAUCUUAACAACAUCUGGAGAUAUACAACCAUCACCUCUCAACCAACCGUCACCUAUGAAGGAAAACAUUCAGGCAGCUGAGGGAUUCAGAAACCAACAACAGGCUGACCAAGAUGUUUUUCAACCAAGACAGGACAACAGAAAGCAAAUCGAAGAACCUGAGCCACAAGACACUUCAACUGACUAUCCCGAAGACACAAAUGGAGCAUCUCAAAGGGCUGCUUCGGAACAACAACAGGGAGAAAAUGUCGGGAGGGUUCAGCGGCAGAGAAAUGACACAAACAAUAGCUAUGAACCAACUAAAGAUGCUCCAAGUAUCAUCCAGGCAGACAAUAAACCUGAGAGCAGCUCGAGAACUCCUGAAGAACCCAGGCAACAAGCACAGCCGGAAGGCAAAACUCGAGGUGGUGAAAUCAUGUCGCCAGCCUCUGAAACCGGGCAGCCUGAAGAAAGCGAUCUCCCACCAAGCAAGAAGGGUCGCACCAAUCAAUCUCAGUCAGAGACCUCCGCCAAACUGGAAGACCAAACCCCCUCUGCUACCCGGAACAGAGGCACAAACUCCAGCAAAUUGGACGGGGCAACUGAUGACACCAAAUCCGCCGACACGGACGAUAAUAAUCCAUCGUCAUGA
rnacentral:rRNA from 1 species